rnacentral:lncRNA from 1 species
UUUUAUUCUGUCUAGACAAUCUUCCCCUCCAACGUUCUGGGCAUAUGUAUCAGUGUUCAGAAGAGAGCAAGGGCUAUUCUUGCAGAAGGGCUUGCCUUUGGAGAGAGUGUCAGGAAGGAUGAGUCACUCUUAGAAUUGAUUCCAGAUAAUCUGUUGCCAAGCUGUAUUUGCUAAUGCAGUCAUCUAAAUCCUGGUAUCCAUGGAACACAGUGGAAGGCAAAUUUGUCCUUGUCAUUUCAUGGCCAGAGGCCUCCUUUAAAAGAUAGGAGAAAAUUAAUUAGAGCGCAAAUUCAUCCAUAAAAUGAAAAGACAGGCUACCUGGGCAAAAGGAUCUGGAAGAGGAAGACUCAUUUUUAUUAGGAAGCUCUUUGUGUCCAGCUCAAGUAGCGUACAUUUGUGCAGAAGAGAUAAUUAUUUGGCAUUAUUAUUCCCAAUCCUGCAGUCAGUCAAGGAAAAACUCAAAUGAAUACUUCAUCAUUAACUAUACAUUUAAUGCUCACACUAUGGCAACAUCACUGUACUCAGAGAUCUUGAAGGACUCAAGAUCUUGAAUGUUAUGAUUGCAUUUACUCCAUAUUAAUAAGUAUUAAAUACAGUAAAAUAAAAUAAAAAUUUAUUUAUCUAAAUUCUGGAAGAUCUUAAAAAUUAAAUAUAAUAAUUGCUGCAUAAAGUGAUUGAAAACUAAAUCAGGAAAGGUCUUAUUUCAACCAUCAUAAU